rnacentral:rRNA from 1 species
CGGCCGCAGUAUUUUAACCGCGCGAAGGUAGCGUAAUCACUUGUUUUUUAAAUAAAGACUAGUAUGAACGGCCAUACGAGGACUUAACUGUCUCCUUUGUCCAAUCAGUGAAACUGAUCUCCCCGUGCAGAAGCGGGGAUAACACCAUAAGACGAGAAGACCCUAUGGAGCUUAAAACCGAACCAACUAUCCUUUAUUACUUCCACGGAACUAACAAACAUCAGGAUAUAUUUGAUGUAGGUUUUGGGUUGGGGUGACCAUGAAGAAAAACUAAACCUUCCUGACGAUUUACAAACCAAGAGCUCCAGCUCCAAGUAUUAAGACACUUAACCUUCAUUGACCCACUUUGUGAUCAACGAACCAAGUUACCCUAGGGAUAACAGCGCAAUCCACUUCAAGAGUCCUUAUCGACAAGUGGGUUUACGACCUCGAUGUUGGAUCAGGGCACCCAAGUGGUGCAACCGCUACUAAAGGUUCGUUUGUUCAACGAUUAAAGCCCUACGUGAUC